UACAGAGGUCUCAAGCGUUGUUCGGAUUCAUUGGGCGUAAAGGGUGCGUAGGCGGCGCGGUAAGUCGGGUGUGAAAGCCCCGGGCUCAACCUGGGAAUUGCAUUCGAGACUGCGUAGCUAGGGUGCGGAAGAGGGAAGCGGAAUUUCCGGUGUAGCGGUGAAAUGCGUAGAUAUCGGAAGGAACACCAGUGGCGAAAGCGGACUUCCUCGG
rnacentral:rRNA from 1 species